rnacentral:rRNA from 1 species
AUUGAACGCUGGCGGCAUGCCUAACACAUGCAAGUCGAGCGGAGCGGCGGACGGGUGAGUGAUGCCUAGGAAUCUGCCUGGUAGUGGGGGAUAACGUCCGGAAACGGGCGCUUAUACCGCAUACUAUCAGAUGAGCCUAGGUGGGAUUAGCUAGUUGGUGGGGUAAAGGCCUACCAAGGUGACGAUGCGUAACUGGUCUGAGAGGAUGACCAGCCACACUGGGACGGAGAAACGGUCCAGACUCCUACGGGAGGCAGCAGUAGGGAAUAUUGCACAAGGGGCGAAAGCCUGAUGGAGCCAUGCCGCGUGUGUGAAGAAGGCCUUCGGGUUGUAAAGCACUUUCAGCAGGGAGGCGUUACCCACAGAGGAAGCACCGGCUAACUCCGUGCCAGCCGCCGCGGUAAUAC